rnacentral:tRNA from 1 species
GGGGUCAUAGCUCAGCUGGGAGAGCGCCUGCCUUGCACGCAGGAGGUCGUCGGUUCGAUCCCGACUGGCUCCACCA